ACCCUCCAAUCUCCUCCCCCAUCAGAUCUAAACCCAGGUCUGAGUGGUUACAAAAGGAGGGAAAGUAACAUUGAAACUGACUUCAGUGCUUUUGUAGCACAUGGGCUAGUUUUAGUUUUUU